CAGUUUUCAUGUGUUCGGCUUUGUCGGAAACGGAGUUGUAGUUUUACAUUGGUUUUGUGUAAAUAAGAUGGGCUGUCGCCAAUCAUCCGAAGCAAUAGGGCAUGCUUCAGCUAAGGAUGGGUCUCACAAAUCAGAGAAAACACAUUGGGGUCAACGUCAGCAGCAAAAUCAAAAGAAACAAAAGACAUUGAAGGAAUAAGAAGAUGAAUUUGGGAGAGAAGAUCUAAUGAAACUAUGCAAUGAUGCAGAAACGCUAGUAUCCCAACUUAUGAGCACAAUACAUGAAAGGCAACAAGAAAAUAGUGAUCUCAAUAGGAGGUUA